AAUAAUAAUAUUAUGGAACAUGUUAAUUAUUAUAAUAUUGCGUUAAUGUGACUGAUAGUUUCUCAAUUUCCGGUAUACAUGGCCUCAUGUUUAUAUCUUAGCCAGUAAUAUUUGGUUUCAAGUGUGUCGUUAACUCAUUUAACGUCAAUAUUAGAUGAUAUUUGAUAAUAGUAAAUAAAACUUGUCAUGGUCUGCACUUAAAUUAUCAUCGUAAAUGAUAAAAUUGACCAUGAGUUAGACGAAAACUAUAACCAAUAACGGUGUUCUUUUGUCUUCAGCGUGUAACAGUUUGACUAGUUAAACUCGUGUCUCGAAUUAUGUUUUACUAAGCAAUAAAUCUAUGCAUUACACUACAUAACCCAUGGAUAUCUGUAUAUUCUAGGAACUCCGUGUGAAAACAGCAUGCAUUCUGUGGCGCCACAGUAUCUUAUUUGUAGCGACGCGUCAAGUAAUUCGUGCUAAACAAUCUUACCGAGUCUUGCGCAUUGACCGAGAUUGCAGGGUCGUGUGCGAUUUUGUUACGGAUUACAAAGGUUUUUUCAGGUGAACCUACUACAACUUACAUGUUUGAAUAAGAAACGCUAUAAAUUCAAACAUUUGUCUCACGUGGAGAAACAAUAUCCGAAGUGUAUUAUAUAAAAAAUAAAAAGGCAAUAGUGGUUCCCAAUAACAACUUGAAAGGCCUAAUCGUCCGGUAACAAAACUGAGAUGGAAAUAAUGAUAACGCAUAAACGAAAGGUAAGUGAUAUCGAGAAAUCGAUUCACAUCGAUGUGCCGUCGUGUCAUUUCACAUUUUUCGAACCGAUGGUUAUGUAUGAAAUUGCCUUUUAAAUGUUACUACAGUAAUAUAAGGAUAAUGUAUUACAUCAAUAUAUAUUUUAUGACGUUUUGUCAAUUUUUCGAUUUAUAUAAACUCAAGAAAAAACUUUUAUUGCAUGUCAUAUCCCUAAAUAGACAUAACGAAUGGGAACAAAAUAACAAUAAAC